CUCUUAGAUGUCCGGGGCCGCACGCGCGCUACACUGAAGGAAUCAGCGUGGCUUUCUCCCUGACCCGAAAGGGUUGGGAAACCCGUUGAAUCUCCUUCGUGAUAGGGAUUGGGGCUUGAAAUUGUUCCCCAUGAACGAGGAAUUCCCAGUAAGCGCGAGUCAUAAGCUCGCGUUGAUUACGUCCCUGCCCUCUGUACACACCGCCCGUCGCUACUACCGAUUGAACGGUUUAGUGAGGGCCUCGGAUUGGUCUCGGCCCGCUCUUUACCGGGCGGCGCCGUUGGUCGAGAAGACGCUCGAACUUGAUCGUUUAGAGGAAGUAAAAGUCGUAACA
rnacentral:rRNA from 1 species